rnacentral:rRNA from 1 species
UUCGGCGGUCAUAGCGGUGGGGAAACGCCCGGUCCCAUUCCGAACCCGGAAGCUAAGCCCACCUGCGCCGAUGGUACUGCACUCGUGAGGGUGUGGGAGAGUAGGACGCCGCCGGAC